UACGUACUCCCUCCAUCCGAAAAUACUUGUCAUCAAAAUGGAUCAAAAAAGAUUUACGUAGAACUAAAAUAUGUCUAGAUACAUCCCCUUUUAUCUAAUUUGAUGACAAGUAUUUCCGAACGGAGGGAGUACCAG
rfam:Triticum aestivum genome assembly, contig: Triticum_aestivum_CS42_TGACv1_scaffold_406498_5BL